rnacentral:rRNA from 1 species
AUUGAACGCUGGCGGCAGGCCUAACACAUGCAAGUCGAGCGAGCGGCGGACGGGUGAGUAAUGUAUGGGGACUGCCCGAUAGAGGGGGAUAACUACUGGAAACGGUAGCUAAUACCGCAUACUAUCGGAUAACCCAUAUGGGAUUAGCUAGUAGGUGAGGGAAUGGCUCACCUAGGCGACGAUCCCUAGCUGGUCUGAGAGGAUGAUCAGACUCGCUGGGAUUGAGACACGGCCCGGACUCCUACGGAGUCAGCAGUGGGGAAUAUGUCACAAUGGGCGCAGGCCUGAUGCAGCCAUGCCGCGUGUAUGAAGAAGGCCCUAGGGUUGUAAAGUCCUUUCAGUCGGGAGGCGUUACCGACAGAAGAAGCACCGGCGAAGUCCGUGCCAGCCGCCGCGGUAAUAC